rnacentral:rRNA from 1 species
UGGGGGCGUAAGAGCUCGUAGGUGGUUGGUCACGUCUGCUGUGGAAACGCAACGCUUAACGUUGCGCGUGCAGUGGGUACGGGCUGACUAGAGUGCAGUAGGGGAGUCUGGAAUUCCUGGUGUAGCGGUGAAAUGCGCAGAUAUCAGGAGGAACACCGGUGGCGAAGGCGGGACUCUGGGCUGUAACUGACACUGAGGAGCGAAAGCAUGGGGAGCGAACAGGAUUAGAUACCCUGGUAGUCCAUGCCGUAAACGUUGGGCACUAGGUGUGGGGGACAUUCCACGUUCUCCGCGCCGUAGCUAACGCAUUAAGUGCCCCGCCUGGGGAGUACGGUCGCAAGGCUAAAACUCAAAGGAAUUGACGGGGGCCCGCACAAGCGGCGGAGCAUGCGGAUUAAUUCGAUGCAACGCGAAGAACCUUACCAAGGCUUGACAUACACUGGACCGUUCUGGAAACAGUUCUUCUCUUUGGAGCUGGUGUACAGGUGGUGCAUGGUUGUCGUCAGCUCGUGUCGUGAGAUGUUGGGUUAAGUCCCGCAACGAGCGCAACCCUCGUUCUAUGUUGCCAGCACGUGAUGGUGGGAACUCAUAGGAGACUGCCGGGGUCAACUCGGAGGAAGGUGGGGAUGACGUCAAAUCAUCAUGCCCUUUAUGUCUUGGGCUUC